GCUUUUCAUCAACAGCUGGUGCUUAUUCUACACAUCCUGCCAUCUACAAUGUUGUUCUGUUCACUUUUACUCUUCUUUGACUUGAUAGGUCUCAGUUCUGAACAGGUAUUAAUACCCUACACUGAUGUAGAAGUGGCUUCAGAAAGGGAAAGAGUUACUCUCUCUUGUAACUACUCCUCUGGUGACACUCUUCAAUGGUAUCGACAAUAUCCACAAUCAGCACCACAGUUACUGGUUAUGGAACAUAUGAUUGCAAAAACACCAGGGUUCUUACUAAAUCAUGACAAAAAGGCCAAACCCAAACGUGUGGAUCUGGAGAUCUCCUCUGCUGAAGUGACAGACUCUGCUCUGUACUACUGUGCCCUGGAGCCCACAGUGACAGGAGACCUGCCAACACCGUUCAAAAACUGCUAUCUAUUCAAGAGGAGGAGCUAAACUAAGCAGACCACAUGGGGAUAUCAUUUAGUCUGUCACAGAGGAGUGGUACCUCAGUGUUACUGAGAGAGCUGCUGAACUUCAACCAUCAUGUU